UAAACGAUGUCUACUUGGAGGUUGUGGCCUUGAGCCGUGGCUUUCGGAGCUAACGCGUUAAGUAGACCGCCUGGGGAGUACGGUCGCAAGGUUAAAACUCAAAUGAAUUGACGGGGGCCCGCACAAGCGGUGGAGCAUGUGGUUUAAUUCGAUGCAACGCGAAGAACCUUACCUACUCUUGACAUCCAUAGAACUUUCCAGAGAUGGAUUGGUGCCUUCGGGAACUAUGAGACAGGUGCUGCAUGGCUGUCGUCAGCUCGUGUCGUGAAAUGUUGGGUUAAGUCCCGCAACGAGCGCAACCCUUAUCCUUGUUUGCCAACGAGUAAUGUCGGGAACUCCAGGGAGACUGCCGGUGAUAAACCGGAGGAAGGUGGGGACGACGUCAAGUCAUCAUGGCCCUUACGAGUAGGGCUACACACGUGCUACAAUGGCGCAUACAGAGGGCGGCCAACUUGCGAAAGUGAGCGUAUCCCAAAAAGUGCGUCGUAGUCCGGAUUGGAGUCUGCAACUCGACUCCAUGAAGUCGGAAUCGCUAGUAAUCGUAGAUCAGAAUGCUACGGUGAAUACGUUCCCGGGCCUUGUACACACCGCCCAAGCUUC
rnacentral:rRNA from 1 species